rnacentral:rRNA from 1 species
UACGAAGGGGGGCUAGCGUUGUUCGGAAUUACUGGGCGUAAAGCGCACGUAGGCGGGUUGUUAAGUCAGGGGUGAAAUCCUGGAGCUCAACUCCAGAACUGCCUUUGAUACUGGCAACCUAGAGACUGGAAGAGGUUAGUGGAAUUCCCAGUGUAGAGGUGAAAUUCGUAGAUAUUGGGAAGAACACCAGUGGCGAAGGCGGCUAACUGGUCCAGUACUGACGCUGAGGUGCGAAAGCGUGGGGAGCAAACAGG